rnacentral:rRNA from 1 species
GUCCUGUAAUUGAUAAUCCACGAUUAAUUUUAGUUUAUUUUUAGUUUGUAUAUCGUCGUAGGUUGAAUGUUUUAUGAGAAAAUUGAAUAUUCAAAAUUUAUGUAAAAUAAAGAAAAUCAGAUCAAGAUACAGCGUAUAGAUAAGGAGAGAUGGGUUACAAUAAAUUUAUUUAUAUGGUUAAAAUAUUUAACAAUAUUUUAUAAAGUGGAUUUAAUAGUAAUAUAAUUUAGUUAAAUUAUAUGAUUAUAGCUCUAGAAUAUGCACAUAUCGCCCGUCGCUCCUUCUUUAAGGAAGGAUAAGUCGUAACAUAGUAGGUGUACUGGAAAGUGUACCUGGUUUGGCAAGUUAGAGCUUGUAAUAAAGCAUUUUAUUUACAUUAAAAGGUUAGUUGUGAAAAUCAAUUUAAUUUGAAAAUGAAAAAUUAAUUUAAUAUAUUUAAAAAAAAUAUUUUUUAUAUAAGUAUAUUUUAGAAAUUAGGAAAUUUUAAUGAUAGUGUAUAGUAUAGAGAUAGAAAUAUGAAUUAUGGUAGUUUUAUUUUUAAAAAAGAAGAAUUAAUUUUUUGUACCUUGUGUAUCAGGGUUUAUUAAAAUAUUUUAUUUAAUUUAAUUUUCUCGAAUUAAGAAGAGCUAUAAUUAUAUAAAUUUAAUUGUGGUAUAAAUUUUUAUAAUGUAAUUAUAGUAAUGAAAUGUUAAACGUUUUUUAAAAUAUCUAGUUUCUUAAGAAAUAAAUUUAAUUUAAUUUUUUGAUUUUAUAAUAUUUAUUAUUUAGUAUUAUAUAUUAAUAAUUUAAUAUUUUAAGGGAUGAGCUUUAAAAUAAAGUUUUAAAAAUAAGUUUUUAUGUGUUAAAUAUUAGUAGGAUUGGAAAUUUUUAUCUUUAGUUUGUUAUAAUUAAUUUUUGAUUGAAUAAGAUUUAUAUAAAAUUUUAAUUUUUUUAUUAAGAUUAUUUAUAUAAUAAUAAUUUAUAUGAAAUAAUGAUAAAAUUAGUAUAGUAUAUUGUAUUAUUAUUUGAAAAAUAGAGGUUAAGUUAAGGAACUCGGCAAAUAUAUUUUUCGCCUGUUUAUUAAAAACAUGUCCUUUUGAUUAUAAUUUAAGGUCUAACCUGCCCAAUGAGGAGUUAAAUGGCCGCGGUAAUUUGACCGUGCAAAGGUAGCAUAAUCAUUAGUUUUUUAAUUGAAAGCUGGUAUGAACGGUUGGACGAGAAAAUAGCUGUCUCAAUUUAAUUUAAAUUAGAAUUUUAUUUAUAAGUUAAAAAGCUUAUAUAAUUUUAAAAGACGAGAAGACCCUAUAGAAUUUAAUAUUUUUUUAUAUUAAUUAUUUUUGGUAUAUUAAUUUUUUAAUAUAAAAAAUUAUUUUGUUGGGGCGAUAGAAAAAUUUAAUUAACUUUUUUUAUAUUUUAUCAUU